UUUUAUAUAUUCAAUGAAACGGGU
rnacentral:piRNA from 1 species